rnacentral:rRNA from 1 species
GGCAGCAGUCGGGAAUUUUGGGCAAUGGGCGAAAGCCUGACCCAGCAACGCCGCGUGAGGGAUGAAGGCCUUCGGGUCGUAAACCUCUGUCGGGAGGGACGAACGAUCAGCGGGUAAACAAUCCGGUGGUCUGACGGUACCUCCAAAGGAAGCGCCGGCUAACUCCGUGCCAGCAGCCGCGGUAAUACGGAGGGCGCAAGCGUUGUUCGGAAUCACUGGGCGUAAAGCGCGUGUAGGCGGCUUGGCAAGUCGGACGUGAAAUCCCGGGGCCCAACCCCAGAACUGCGCUCGAAACUGCCUCGCUAGAGUCCCGGAGAGGAAGGCGGAAUUCCCGGUGUAGAGGUGAAAUUCGUAGAUAUCGGGAGGAACACCAGUGGCGAAGGCGGCCCCCUGGACGAAGACUGACGCUCAGGUGCGAAAGCGUGGGGAGCAAACAGGAUUAGAUACCCUGGUAGUCCACGCUGUAAACGAUGUCGAUUUGGAGGUUGUGCCCUUGAGGCGUGGCUUCCGGAGCUAACGCGUUAAAUCGACCGCCUGGGGAGUACGGCCGCAAGGUUAAAACUCAAAUGAAUUGACGG